UCAGAUGUCUGUAAGGCACACAAGGAUUCGUUCCCACCUUUUAAAGUAUAUAUGUUCUUUGUCAGCAUGAGAAUCUAAAUCGAUGUCAGUCUGUGCAAAUCAAUUUUACUCCUAUCAUCUUAAUAGCUAUUGGGAUGAAACUUGAUAUUUAAGCUACCUGUGACCCGGGAAAAAGUUAGAGUAUCCCCAUGAAAUUUACUAAUUUGAGGGAUGGUUUGGAACGUUUUGUCUGUGCAUUGAUGUAUUGAGUUACAGAAAAAGAACAUGUACAAAUAUUAUGGUCAAGGACUGCAAAGCUGUAAAAACUUCGGCACACCCGAAGUUAUCAUCUUUUGUAUUUUUAAGAUUAAUUUCAUGUAAAAUUUUAUUGAAUUUAAAAGAUAGUUUUGUUUGAGAUGAUA